UCGAGUCAACAUCACAUCAGUGGUUUUCCGGCUGACGAGCUAAUUCCUGUGCCUUUUGCUACAAACAGCUCUACACACAAAAUGGGUUUCUCUCUGACGCGGGACUCGUGGCUCCUGUCUUUUUAAAGCUGGAAAACACCUCCGAACCUUCCCUCCGCCCUCAUGGUGACGCAACCCACACCCUGCCAGCUCCUCGCCGUGAUGAGAGUGAGGAUACAGAUUUUUAAAAUGCCGCACAAUUAAGUUCUGCACUGAGAGCAAGAGAUGACAAUGCGACUGAUGCUUUAAAACUACCGCAACCCCAGCCAAGCCACCUUAUAUAGUCACAGUUUAUUUUAUUACUAAAAUGUUUUCUGUUUAGGUCCUUGGAGAAAGAAAAGCCGAGGGGACACUACAUGUCGCUUGAAAAAUGUAGAAAGGGAUAGUUUUUUUUUUGCAGAAAGUGUCGUGCUAGCUACAAGUUGUAAGCAACUGUAUCAAAGGACUGUUCAUUUUGUAGAAGCAACGUAAUAGCGUAGAAUAAAUCAGCCAAUGAAAGUGAUGUAAAAAAAAUCAUGUGACCCUUCUUCGCUGCCCAAAAAAAAAUAAGAAAAAUGGCUGAGAAAUGCAGAGACAGUGUGAUUUUUAUUUUUAUUUUUACAGAUGGUUUAGGCAAGUAAAUACGUGUUAAUCGGUCCAUCCUGGUAGAUAAUGACCAAUUUGUCAGUUAAUGUCACGAGAUGUAGUGGAUCGGAAUUAAAGUCGACAAUUAUGAAUAUUGUAUUCCUUGGGAAAAAAAAAAAAAAAAAAAAAAAAAAAACUGUUAUGAACAUUUUUAAACAUAAUGUUGUGUUGGCAUUAUAGUCUAAUAUUAACAUUUGAUACAGCUAGUAAUGGAUAAAAUGAGUCCUACUUUUUGUUUAAAGUCGUUUGAACAUUGCAGUUCGGCAGACGCAACUUGAAAUAUUGUUAAACAGAUACCGUUAUCUUAUUUGUAGAAAGAUAAAUAAAUAAUCCUCACCUGGCAUAAUUAGCAUAUAACAGAUUCACAACAAAAAUGAUGAGGGUAAUGAUAAAUAUUACCAACACAAUCCUAUAUACAUAUUUAAGAAUAAAGUGAAAAUUAUGUGGAUAUAAUGCCUAGGGGACAGUAGUCUACAUGUUGCUAAAAAAAUGUAGAAAGGGAUACUUUUUUUUUUGUAGAAAGUGACCUGCAAGCUACAAGUUUAAGGCAACUGCCUUGCAAGCAACUGUAUCAAAGGACUGUUGAUUUUGUAGACGCAACAUUACGUCGUAGAAUAAAUCAGGGCAGCUGGCAUAAAAUGUGUGCUCUGGAAAAAAUAAACUACUGCAAAAUUGUCA